rnacentral:rRNA from 1 species
UACGUAGGGUGCAAGCGUUGUCCGGAAUUAUUGGGCGUAAAGAGCUCGUAGGCGGUCUGUUGCGUCGGCUGUGAAAACCCGAGGCUCAACCUCGGCCUGCAGCCGAUACGGGCAGACUAGAGUUCGGCAGGGGAGACUGGAAUUCCUGGUGUAGCGGUGAAAUGCGCAGAUAUCAGGAGGAACACCGGUGGGCCGAAGGCGGGU